CAGUCGCCACGGUAAUACGUAGGUCCCGAGCGUUGUCCGGAUUUAUUGGGCGUAAAGGGAGCGCAGGCGGUCAGGAAAGUCUGGGGUAAAAGGCUAUGGCUCAACCAUAGUGUGCUCUGGAAACUGUCUGACUUGAGUGCAGAAGGGGAGAGUGGAAUUCCAUGUGUAGCGGUGAAAUGCGUAGAUAUAUGGAGGAACACCAGUGGCGAAAGCGGCCCUCUGGUCUGUCACUGACGCUGAGGCUCGAAAGCGUGGGUAGCGAACAGGAUUAGAUACCCGAGUAGUCCCUGUCUCUUAUACA
rnacentral:rRNA from 1 species